rnacentral:rRNA from 1 species
AUUGAACGCUGGCGGCAUGCCUUACACAUGCAAGUCGAACGGUAACAGGUCUUCGGAUGCUGACGAGUGGCGAACGGGUGAGUAAUACAUCGGAACGUGCCCGAUCGUGGGGGAUAACGAAGCGAAAGCUUUGCUAAUACCGCAUAAGAUCUACGGAUGAAAGCAGGGGACCGCAAGGCCUUGCGCGAACGGAGCGGCCGAUGGCAGAUUAGGUAGUUGGUGGGAUAAAAGCUUACCAAGCCGACGAUCUGUAGCUGGUCUGAGAGGACAACCAGCCACACUGGGAUUGAGACACGGCCCAGACUCCUACGGGAGGCAGCAGUGGGGAAUUUUGGACAAUGGGCGAAAGCCUGAUCCAGCCAUGCCGCGUGCAGGAUGAAGGCCUUCGGGUUGUAAACAGCUUUUGUACGGAACGAAAAGACUCUGGUUAAUACCUGGGGUCCAUGACGGUACCGUAAGAAUAAGCACCGGCUAACUACGUGCCAGCAGCCGCGGUAAUACGUAGGGUGCAAGCGUUAAUCGGAAUUACUGGGCGUAAGGCGUGCGCAGGCGGUUAUAUAAGACAGAUGUGAAAUCCCCGGGCUCAACCUGGGAACUGCAUUUGUGACUGUAUAGCUAGAGUACGGCAGAGGGGGAUGGAAUUCCGCGUGUAGCAGUGAAAUGCGUAGAUAUGCGGAGGAACACCGAUGGCGAAGGCAAUCCCCUGGGCCUGUACUGACGCUCAUGCACGAAAGCGUGGGGAGCAAACAGGAUUAGAUACCCUGGUAGUCCACGCCCUAAACGAUGUCAACUGGUUGUUGGGUCUUCACUGACUCAGUAACGAAGCUAACGCGUGAAGUUGACCGCCUGGGGAGUACGGCCGCAAGGUUGAAACCCAAAGGAAUUGACGGGGACCCGCACAAGCGGUGGAUGAUGUGGUUUAAUUCGAUGCAACGCGAAAAACCUUACCCACCUUUGACAUGUACGGAAUCCUUUAGAGAUAGAGGAGUGCUCGAAAGAGAGCCGUAACACAGGUGCUGCAUGGCUGUCGUCAGCUCGUGUCGUGAGAUGUUGGGUUAAGUCCCGCAACGAGCGCAACCCUUGCCAUUAGUUGCUACGAAAGGGCACUCUAAUGGGACUGCCGGUGACAAACCGGAGGAAGGUGGGGAUGACGUCAAGUCCUCAUGGCCCUUAUAGGUGGGGCUACACACGUCAUACAAUGGCUGGUACAGAGGGUUGCCAACCCGCGAGGGGGAGCUAAUCCCAUAAAGCCAGUCGUAGUCCGGAUCGCAGUCUGCAACUCGACUGCGUGAAGUCGGAAUCGCUAGUAAUCGCGGAUCAGAAUGUCGCGGUGAAUACGUUCCCGGGUCU